rnacentral:tRNA from 1 species
GGUCCCGUAGUCCAAUGGAUAGGACGAUGGUCUCCGAAGCCGUAGGUGGUGGUUCGAUUCCACCCGGGACCA